rnacentral:rRNA from 1 species
GAUGAACGCUAGCUACAGGCUUAACACAUGCAAGUCGAGGGGCAUCAGGAUGGUAGCAAUACAUUGCUGGCGACCGGCGCACGGGUGAGUAACACGUAUCCAACCUGCCUCAUACUCGGGGAUAGCCUUGCGAAAGUAAGAUUAAUACCCGGCGGUCUCGGAUGGCCGCAUGACUGUCCGAGUGAAGAUUUAUCGGUAUGAGAUGGCGAUGCGUCCCAUUAGCUUGUUGGUGAGGUAAUGGCUCACCAAGGCAUCGAUGGGUAGGGGUUCUGAGAGGAAGGUCCCCCACAUUGGAACUGAGACACGGUCCAA